UACGGAGGGUGCAAACGUUGCUCGGAAUCAUUGGGCGUAAAGCGCACGUAGGCUGCUCGACAAGUUGGAUGUGAAAGCCCUUGGCUCAACCGAGGAAGUGCAUCCAAAACUGGCGGGCUUGAAUCUCGGAGGGGGCCAGAGAAUUCCCGGUGUAGAGGUGAAAUUCGUAGAUAUCGGGAGGAAUACCAGUGGCGAAGGCGCUGGCCUGGACGAAGAUUGACGCUGAGGUGCGAAAGCGUGGGGAGCAAACAGG
rnacentral:rRNA from 1 species